GACGAACGCUGGCGGCGUGCCUAAUACAUGCAAGUCGAGCGAAUGACGAGAAGCUUGCUUCUCUGAUUUAGCGGCGGACGGGUGAGUAACACGUGGGCAACCUGCCCUGUAGACUGGGAUAACUUCGGGAAACCGGAGCUAAUACCGGAUAAUUCUUUUAGCCUCAUGGCUUUAAGCUAAAAGGCGCUUCGGCGUCACUACAGGAUGGGCCCGCGGUGCAUUAGCUAGUUGGUGGGGUAACGGCCUACCAAGGCAACGAUGCAUAGCCGACCUGAGAGGGUGAUCGGCCACAUUGGGACUGAGACACGGCCCAAACUCCUACGGGAGGCAGCAGUAGGGAAUCUUCCACAAUGGACGAAAGUCUGAUGGAGCAACGCCGCGUGAGUGAUGAAGGUUUUCGGAUCGUAAAACUCUGUUGUAAGGGAAGAACAAGUGCGUUAGGUAAUGAACGCACCUUGACGGUACCUUAUUAGAAAGCCACGGCUAACUACGUGCCAGCCGCCGCAGUAA
rnacentral:rRNA from 1 species